UAAGCAUAUAAGUAAGCGGAGGACAAGAAACUAAAUAGGAUUCCCCCAGUAAUGGCGAAUGAACAGGGAAGAGCUCAGCAUGGAAAUCGGGGCCUCCCGGCCUUGAAUUGUAGUCUUGAGAUGUACUGCCAACGGAGGCGCAGAUGUAAGCCUCUUGGAAAAGAGCAUCAACGAGGGUGAGAGUCCCGUUUGUCAUCUGCAGUCCCCCGUGUACGGUGUACAUUCUAAGAGUCACGUUCCUCGGGAUUGGAGCGCAAAGUGGGUGGUAAAUUUCAUCUAAAGCUAAAUAUUGGUUCGAGACCGAUAGCAAACAAGUACCAUGAGGGAAAGGUGAAAAGGACUUUGAAAAGAGAGUUAAAAGUGCCUGAAAUUGCUGAAAGGGAAGCGAAUGGAACCAGUGUUCUUGAUGAGAUUGUCGUGUACUCUGGUGAUUGCUGGGUGCUCCACCGCAAGGGGGGCAUUUGGUUUUGAGCUAGAUGUGCGUGGUGUUUCUUGUCUUGUGUGUCACCGUCGGUGCAUGAGCGAGUAAACCUCCAGGGAGAUGGUAUCUUGACCGCGGUUGAGUGAAUGUCUCUGGCAGUACUCAUUUAUGUAUCGAUCCCUGCGUGUCUGGUUGCAGUGUUUGAGUCGUCUGGAAGCUCCUGAAAGGCUUGCCCUCGAAGGACUUUCUGGGCACCUCGAGCAUCUCCCUGACACAAAGACGAUGACUAAAUGGUUCUAUUCGACCCGUCUUGA
rnacentral:rRNA from 1 species